AUAGUACUCCUUCGUCCGGAAAUACUUGUCAUCAAAAUGGAUAAAAGGGGAUGUAUCUAGAUGUAUUUUAGUUCUAGAUACAUCUCUUUUUAUCCAUUUUGAUGACAAGUAUUUUCGGACAGAGGGAGUAUGAA
rfam:Triticum urartu cultivar G1812 contig480684, whole genome shotgun sequence.